GGCAGCGGGGCUCGCCAUGCCCUCGCCUCCUGGAGUUGAAUUCUUCCGCUCGCACAUGGUGGUUCCUCUUUCUGAGGCAGCACCACGCACCUGUGCCCUCCAGUGGCUGCAUUUCCCUGGGACUGCAUGCUGAGGGGAUGUCACCCAGAGACCCCGACCCCCCUCAACACACAGCACCGUUGUUACUUUGCCUCAUUUUCCUGCUCCCAUGUCCCAGGGAGCCAGUCAGUACCGCAUAGUAGGGCAAUUGAUCGGUUCUGGCUAAUCCAUAAGGGAGGGGAGAUCUCAGCCUGCCGCCCAAUGGGGAGCAUGUGGCACUCUGGAAAGAGCAUGUGCUCUAGAGCCAGAGGGCAUGGGUUCAAGGUCUCCCUUCUACCUUUCUAGCUGUGUGACUUUGGGGAAGCUGCUUGACUUCUCUGAGUCUCCACUUACUAAUCUAUAAAAGCAGAAGUCGGAUGGGAGCUGAGAGGAGGACUCUCACAAGCAACCUCAGAGGGUUGCUUGGCCUUGCCUCCACCAUGCCUGACACUGGCGCUCUGCUGGGAGGAAAAAGCUUGCUCUGUUGCUGGCUGUGUGGAACAGAGAGGGAAGUGGCAGACAGUCUGGGCCCAGCACUUGGGUAUCGUGCUCUAGCCAUGCGACUCAUCUCUCCAGUUCAGACCUGCCCCUGGAAAAAAGAGCCCAGACCUCAUCAUGAAUGCUUUCCUAGGAGAAAAUGAACAGCUGGACAAUGCUCCUGGUCAGUAGGCCUGAAGGAUGCUGGGAUGCAGCCCUCAAGAUGGAACAGCCAGGAUGCCAAGUAUCCCUCUUGCCCAGAUCCUAAGGCACUUUUUCUACUGAUCCAUAUUGGCCUCAGGAGAUGUCUCAACACAGCACCCCAGCCAAUGGAGCUGCCACAUAAGAUGAACUCUUGAUCAUCUCUAAACUAGAGAGUUAAACUCAACACUAGCAAACGACUUUGGGUUUAUGCAUAUGUCAUGUUUUCUCUGGCAACUGCACAGAAUCAUCUCUAAAUAUCACAUCUAUGGUUGGCAGGAGUGGCAUGUAUAAUACAAAAUGUCUGGUGGCCCUACUGUCACAAAACCUGUAUAAAAGUAAAUUCACAAAUGGCUUUUUAGAACUGAUGACAAAAAGUUACUCGUUAUCACUUUUCUAAUUAAUUUCCUAAAAGGGCAAUUUGAAAUCAUACUGGGAUUCUCACAAUUUUGGUUGACAGUCAAGUAAAUUGCAGCUACUUAUCAAGCACUUUUGAAUGAAUACAUGAAGAAUGAAUAAAAUGAAAGCUCUCCUGUUGCCCUCAGCAUCA
ensembl:lncRNA novel transcript